GCUUACAUACCACUCGUGCCUCUAAGGAAGACGAGCAUCCUGGCGGAAUGUCCAUAUAAACCUCCUCCUCAAGAUCAACAUGGAGGAAGGUAUUUUUUACAUCAAGUUGGUGCAAUGGCCAAUCUAAAUUUGCUGCAAUAGAUAACAAGACUAACAAUAUUUAGUUUGGCUACGGGUGAGAAAGUUUCUUAAUAAUCUAUUCCAUAUGUCUGUGUAUACCCCUUUGCCACUAGUCUUGCCUUGUGUCGAUCGAUGGACCCAUCUGCAUUGUAUUUAAUGGAUAAAAUCCACUUGCACCAGCCCCUUCUCAUCAAUGGACUCUUGACGUAUACGAAGGAGUGCCCCACUGUCUUCUUUCCUCUAGGUAGUUCCACCAGUGCCAAUGUUUUAUUUUUCUGUAAAGCCUACGGUUCUUCCUUUAUAGCGUUAGCCCAAUAUGGAUCUGUCAAGGCUUCUUCAACGGUGCUAGGUAUUUUACAUGAGGACAAGGUAUGUGCAAAUGCUCUAAGAGGUCCAGAUAACCAUUGCAUAGAUAUAUAGUUGGCUAUUGGAUAUUUAGAACGUCUGUCUUUUAUAUUUGGAGAGUACCUAUUUGGUGGCUUGCCCCGAUUGUGUCUGUAAGGUAGAACAUGACUGGCAAAUUUAUCCAUGACAUUAGUGUGUAAAGGUGUAGUAGGAGAACUUACAUUAGGAUUAUUCUCAAGAGGAGGUUCGUCAGGGUCAGGUACUAAGAGGUGGGGAAAGUCAUCUGCAAAGUCUGCACUUAUCGCUGAAACCAACUCAUCUCUUGGAUCCACAGGAACCAUUGAAGCACCUUGAACAUUCAGCUCAAUUCUUUCAUCUUCAUUGUUCAUAUACGUUUGAUUGUUUCCAACAUCCAGCCCUUCACCAACCAGUAGGUGUUGCUCUCCUCCCAACCAAUUCUGCUCUUCAUCGCGAUGCUCCUCUUGAAGAGUGGAAUUGGAUGCCGAAGAUGGGAAGAAGGUGUCAGAUUCUAAAACCGUGACAUCCAUGGUAAUGUAGGUGCGUUUUUUGGUGGGAUCAAAGUAGCGAUAUCCUUUCUUAUAUACUCCAUACCCUAAGAACAGGCAUCGAAUUACGCAUGUGUCCAACUUAGUUCUUUGAUUUUUAUGGAGGUGUACAAAUGCAACGCAACCGAAAAUACAGGGAGGAAGCAACAACACAGUAGGUAAUGGGACAUGGUUAGAUAUAACCUUUAAUGGAGUCUGAAAUGUUAAUACCUUUGUAGGAAUACGAUUCAAUAAAUGCACGGUCGUAGCAACAACAUCAUCCCAAUAGCGACUAGGCAUAUGUGCCCCGAUUAAUAAAGUGCAUGUAGUUUCUAAGAUAUGUUGAUUCUUCCUUUCAGCAAGACCAUUUUGUUGUGGGUUUUGAGAACAUGAGGUCUCAUGGAGAAGACCAUGAUUCUAAAAGUAUGCUUGAAACUGCUGAUUAACAUAUUCCCCUCCAUUGUCAGAAUGAAGGAUAUGAAUCUUCAUAGAAAAUUUGAGUCUAAACCAUGAUGUGAAAGGAUUUGAACACACUAAAUACUUCAUCUUUGUGUUUUAGUAAGUACAACCAUGUCAUUCGAGUGCAAUCAUCGACAAAAAUCACAAACCAACGAUGUUCAAAAGAAGUAGUAACAGGGGAAGGUCCCCACACAUCAGAGUGUAUUAAUGCAAAUGGAAUUGUACUUUUAUUCAUGCUCACAGGAUAAGAAACCCUAUGAAUCUCGGCUAGAAUGCAAGUAUUACACGUAAAUUUUGAGUGUAUUCCAUUGGAAAAUAAAUCUGGAAAUAAGUGCUUCAAAUAACCAAUUGAAGGAUAUCAUAAGCGAUGGUGCCAUUACCAAAUAUGUUCUUUCUUGCUAACCGCAUGGUGCAUGAUAUUUUCUCUGCCUGUACUAAGGUCAUCAACAUAGUAUAAUCCCCCCUCUUAGUAGUAUGCCCAUUUAUCUCCUUAGUGAGAAUAUCCUGAAGAAGAUGAAAUGUAGAGUAUAUUAAUACCACAUAAUUGAGAUCAACAGUAACUUAGCUUACAGACAUUAGUUUGUGGGAAAGAGAUGGAACAAGUAACGUAUGAGAUAAUUAUAAAGAAGGAGAUAGAGUUACAGUUCCAGCCCUUGUAACUAGGCAAGGGACCCCAUUAGCAGUAGCAACAUGACUUCGUCUUGGCAGAGUUGUAUGAGAAAAAUCAUUAGAGUCAAAUGUCAGUAGCCCUAGAGUCGAGAAUCCAUUUGUCAUCAGCAUUGUGAGUAGAGCUAUAGAGUGCGUUACUGCUGUUACCUGAAUUAUGUGUGGUUUCUACAUGGGAGGUGAGGAAUAGUGAAGGUUCCCCAGUAACUAUAGUAGCUCUUCUUGUGCUGGCAUUACUUAUAGGAGUGUCUCAUUUCUUCCUUUUCUGAAGAUCAUGCCACCAAUCUAGGUAUCCAUGUAACUUAAAGCAGGUUUCACAGGUAUGUUUGGCGUUGCCACAAUGAGUGCACUUCAUUUCAUCUGAUGGAGUCGUCAUUUUUACGGAUGGAUUUGGUUUGUCAUUGCUCAGGGAGAGAAACCUUGUCUUCAGUGGUGUAUGGUAACGGCCUGCCUUGAGUGCUUUGGAAUUCAUAACCAUUCUAGGAGCACUCUCGGCCACUGAUGUCAUUACUGUCUGUCUUAUUUCUUCCUGUCUGACAUAAGCAUAAGCCUGCUCCACUGUAAGGAAUGGUUUUAGCUAAAGCACAUUGACACGACCAAAAGCUUGAUGUCUUUUCCCAAGUGCAGGAGUGUCGAAGUAAUCAAUAACCUGGGAAGACCAGGGUCGAACCACAAAGAGGUUAAUUGUAUAAAUUAUAAAUAACAAUACAACAACAACAACAAUAAUAACAAUAAUAAUUAUUAUAAUACUCAGUACGUGGCGUUGUUAUACCUGAGAAUGAUCUAAAAGAUCGGGUCACAGGUUUCUAGCCUAUAUACUGAGUUUAUGAUAAGAUCAAAGAUAUAUAUUAUAUAAUAUAAACAGAAUAUAAAUAAUAAUAAUAAUAAUAAUAAAAGGAGAAGAUGAAGAAAUUAAUGAGAACUUUGAGAUGAAAGAUUAACGUAAGGAUUAAAUAAUGAUAAAAACAAAUGUCAAGGUUAGAGGAUCCACUAAUGGUACUUCAAACAAAUAUAGUAUAAACUCUUAUUACUCAAUUGGAAACCACACAUAAAGGAGGUUCCAAUCAGAUUAUAAAUUGUUAACAUGAUUACAUUAGUUAUCUUAUUCGAAUAAAGCUAAUACUUGUAAAUGUUGGCAGGCAUUCAUGAUUAUAACUUAUGUUAACAACAAAUCAAGUUCUUUUCAUAGCUCAGGUGUCGGUUAAACCAUACAGUAUGGGCUAUGAAAGUGCCAAGUAUUUGUUGUACCAAGUGUUAUACAACAUAAAUCUAGAUUAACCAUUUAACAAGCAAAGUAUUCAAAGUGAACAAGAUAACAAAUAUAAAACAUGUUAGUAUCCAAUGUUAAGGUCCAUGUUAAGUUUAUAUUAUACUUGUUCUUACACCAUUAGUGUACCCUUUUCACCUUGACAUAAUUAACUUAGCUAACAUAAUAAAAGAAAGAAACAUAAAUGAACAAGAUAAGAACAUAAAUGAGAAAGAAGUUAACUAGAAAAGGAAAGGAAAUGAAGUGCAUAAACUUGAUAUUAAUGAAAGCAAGACAUAAGCAAUACAAAGAGAGAAAGCAAGAGCAUGAUCUUGAUCUGAAACCAAGAUGCCUCAAUACAUGGUAAGUGCCUCCUUUUAUAGGCCAAAAUUUGGAACUAUUGAUUUGUUGACUAAUUGAUGAGUGGGUGGCCACAUCUUGACUAGAUAACAAUCCUUAUCUUCUUGUCUGAUCAAGACGUCAUUGCUAACAUCAUAAUUUGCCCAGAAUCCUCAAGAAUGUUCUAGGAAAUUGUCUCAGCUUUCCAACAAAAAAAAGAUGAGGUCAUUUGGACUUCUAGAACUCAAGAUAUGGGUGAACACUAAAUAGUGUUUGGGCUGCAGGACAGCUUCGGACUUCUUCGUUGUUCCUUCAAUUUGGACUUCAAAACGACCUUUUCAAAUCUUGGGCUCCUCAUGAAAGUUGUAGGCCUUUGUCUUACCUUUCCAUCCAUAUAAAGUGGACCUAAAUCCGAAAUCUAGAGCUCCAGAUAUGAUCCAAUUACCGAGCAAUGUUCCGGUUUGGACUGCACCGACAUCUCUUUUCUAAGUUUGGCCAUCUCUUUGUCCUUUAACUUUCAAUGCUUAAACUCAUCAAUCAAUCCUUUUAUUUAUGUGAUAGUCCUGCAUUUAAAAUGAGCAUUUACCAUAAAUUAAGGUAUCUUAUAAUAUCAAACUUGUUAUUAUAAAACAUGCUUUAGUUAAGGAGUUAUUGAUACUUCAAGUGCAAAAUGAUGAUAUAAAACCUUGAUAAACAUGCACUUUUAAGUACUAAUCACACCCCCAACCAGCUUAUUACUAGUCCCUAGUAAUCUAAAGCGUUAAAAUAGAGAAACAAUUUGCAAGUUCCACAAAGCAAGGCAUUCAUCAUUCAACUUCCAUUAAUCUAUCCAGAUAAACAAACUCUCAUUAAAUUUAUAUUCCUGCUUCAUACUUCUUAAACAAGAUAUUAAUAAACCUUCUUUUUAUGUGCUCAAUAUAUGAAAACAUAGAUGAUGGGGCUUUUGUUGGAAGAAAACAAUAUUAUGUUCAAAUGUUUAAGGUGAACUUCCUUGGGUUGGGAAUUUUUUUUUUUCUUCUUUUUUUUUUCUCUUUUUUAUAUAUAUAUACAUACAACUUAAAACACAAACACAAUGUAUCUUUAACCCAUGUAACGAGUUUUAGGCUAAUGACUCCCAGACCAGUUGGUCUUAGGGCAUUAGGUGUUGAGACACCCCUACGAGCUUAACAACUCGGGUUGCAGAUACUGAUACGUAGAUAGUGCAAUGUUUGAUUCCCUUAAGCGUUUCUCCUUAACCCGUGUAACAAGCUUUGGGCCAAUAGCUCCCAAGUUAGUUGACUUUAGGGUAUUAGGUGUUAAAACACCCCUUCGAGCUUAAUUGUUUAGGUUAGGGAGGUUACGAAACCAAACUUAUCCACGUUUUAUUAUCAUCAAUACUAUCUUUUUUUUUUUUUUUUUUUUGCAAAUUAUAUACUAUCCUUUUCCCUUAGUUGUUACCUUCAACAAAAGAACAUAAUUAAUGUAAUAAUCCAAUGUGCAACCCACAAUCAUAUGUUAAAGUGUGUGUGUGAAAAUGAAGGUUUAAUAAUACUUGUUAAAUGAGUAUAGGAGCAGAAUCAAGUGAUAACAAUGUGAGAGUUUGUAAACCUGAAUAUUUCAAGAAGUAUUAUGAUAGACCUUGUAAUGAAAUACUUAGAUUCUAAGAUGCGUCUCUAAGUCAAUAAUUCCAUACUCUGCCAUCCUAAAUAACAAUUUUGUCAAAUGGUUUUAAUAAAGCAAAAACAGUUAGCAAGUUAGUUUUUUUUUUUUUUUUAAACUACUACCCUCUCCCCCCAACCAAAACGAGACAUUGUCCUCAAUGUUCGAAGGUAGAAAGAUAGAGUAUAGAAGACAUCACCUGAAACAGCGAACAAUGACAAACCUGAAACACACUUAAACAAACAUAAGAAGUAACAAAACAAAAUAAUAUGCUAUUAAUAAAACCAAAAGACACAAGGUUUCACAGAUGAAGGCUCAAAUCUAAUCUAAGCUUUUUACGGCUUUCCUUAGUUGACCAAUCUAGACGACUCAUGCAGGGAUCAAUGACAGGGAUGAAAGAUUGUAGUUGGUCAAUCAAUUGUUCAGCAGUAGCAGCAGAGAUUAUGAUUCGUCGUGCCGAAGAUGUUAGAAAUUCCUGUUCCACAGCUUGAUCAAGGAAAGACAGCAACUUAUCAUAAAAACCAUUAACAUUUAACAAACCUAUAGGUUUAUGGUGAAUGUGCAGUUGGGCCCAAGAUGAAAUAUGAAAGAUCUCUUCCAAUGUGCCCAGACCACCUGGUAAGGCAAUGAAGGCAUCAGCAUGGUUAAACAUGGUAUUCAGUCGGUCAGACAUUGUUGGGACCUGUAGUUCCUCUCCAAUUGUUUUUCCAAUGAUGUCCCCAUUUGCUAAAGCUUUGGGGACAACCCCCAAAACUUGACUGCCUCCUAAAAAUGCAGCCAUUGACACACCUCCCAUUAACCCAAGGCUGCCUCCCCCAUACACUAAAUGAAUCUUUCUCUCAGCUAGUACCCGACCAAGAUGAUUUGCUGAUUCUAAAAACUCUUUUUCUUUCCCAGAACUGGAUCCACCGAAAACACAAAUAUUUCUUAUAUGAUGACUUGAGGAACCUGCCAUUUCUACACACUUCUAUAUUUGAUGAAUAUAUGGGAUGAGUAGAAAUGAAGGGAAGGAAGAUAAGAAUUUAUAGAAAAAGUGAAAAUGCAAUCAUACCACCUAUAUGUAGGCCAGCUGUAGUCUCACAAACUCACUCUCUCUCUCUCUCUAUUUAUUAAUUAUUUAUUUUUGAAAAAGCAUGUAUGUACAGGUAGUUGUGAUUGUGGCUCACAUCUUCCCUUGGUUUUACGUCCAAGAAUGGCUUAAACACCCUCUAUGGGUCGGGGAUAGGCUUCCCAUCCAGUUUUCUUAAAAACUGGCAAACAGGGUCUUUUUUAGUCAGAUUCCCAAGACUAAGUCGAUCAUGUUCUUUAUGGAAUUGUGGCCAUAAAUCAUGAAUUACACGAUGCACAUCUCCACUAGGAUGCGUCUCAAGGGUCAACAAAAGAUUAUCUAAAGACCUCUUACUCAGGCCAUCCUUAAUGAAUUGUAUUUUAUCUUCACGGUUUACAGAUACCAUUCCUAAAGAACUACAUGUCGCAUUACAAGUCCAUCUGGCACAUCUGUGACAGACUUUCAAUCGUUUUGCACGACGUUUCAUUGCAAAAGUGCUUUUACCUGUUCCAGGCAUGUGUGAAAUGAAAGAAUUGGAGGACUCACCUGAUAAGCGGACCUUUGCUUCAAUUAACCAGCGAAUAUCUUCAGGAAUUUCAUGAUUCAUUAAUAACCUCAAUCUUGCACACCUAGCACGGUAAAUUUUAUUAAUCGCAUUUGGAGGCAAAGAGGGAAAAUACCUUUUCAACUUUUCAAGAGUGUUGCUACCCAUUUUUUGAUCCAUGUUUUGAUAUAUUUUCAAAAAAUUCAAAAAUAGAGAAAAACAAAGAAAAUCCAAAAAAAUAUGUUUUUUUAAUAUAUUUUCGUCAUUUUAGCAUUUUUAACGUCGUCUAAAAAAUGAUUUAAAUUUUUAAGGGUCUUUUGAACGCGUUCGACUUUUCACCCGUCAUUUUAAAAUCUUUGAUUUUCCUCAUCGAGUCGACGUUGAUAUUGCUCGUUUUCAAAAAUACAAAAAAAUUAAAAAAAUAUCAAAUUUACAAAAAAGAAAGAAGUUGAGAGACCAAGUUUGAAAACUUGGCAACAUUUUUACCUAUAAAUACUGGUUUCCAACACUUGCAAAAGGGGGGGGGCAAUUUUGAAAACACCAGAAAAUACAACAAAAAAACCCUAAACCACAAAAAACCUAAAAAAAACCCAAUGACAACCGCCUCCCCCAGCUGGUUUUUGAAUUUUUCUCCCCAAGUUUUGUUCUCCUGAAGCCAAGACAGCAGCCACCCCACCCUUGCAUUUUUUGGACACCGGCCAAACAGCCCCUCCCCCAAAUAGCCGCUCAUUUUUUCUCUUCUCCCUCACCCGGCAGCAACAUCGGAGCUUCUUCUCUCUCAGCCGACAACAAACCCACGGCACGCAGCAGCCACUCCGUCCCUCUUCCCCUCUCGUCUCCAGCUCCUUCUCCUCUCAACCAUGGCCUCCCUCAUUCUCCAAGACACAGCAGCUUCAUUUUUUCUCUCCAAGACGACCCAACAACCUCAUGGCCGGCUUUUACAGCAUCUCCUUCCCCAUUAAUCAUGUUUUCUUCUCAAAUCGGUCCGCCGCUGCACCUCCAGCCCCCACGCCGGACUAGCUCCCCUCUUCCAGCCGCUCCUCCAGCGCCCACAGACCCAUCAACACCGAAGCCUCUCCCUUCUCGGCGGCAUCUUCUUCGUUGGUCUUCUCAACAGUAAACAAUCAAAUCAGCAGCACCCACGGAGCUAUCAACGCCGUCCACAACGUCAGCCACGGCCACACCACCCGAUCUGCCAUCCUAAGCAGAGGAGAAGAAGACGAACAAGUAAACCGAUCUGCAGCAAAGCAGAUCAAAAACAGACCCGAGAACAGAUCUGCAAAGGAGAAAAGAAAAUUAAAAUCGACUUCUUUAUUGUGUUUUUGGUGGUUCUUGCAGGUCACCGCCGGCGAGAAAAGAAAGGGGAGAAGAGGCUGAAGCCAGAUCCCCGCGUUUCCAGUUUCUGCCUUGCGGCAGCGCGUCAACCCACGCGCCGCCAGUGACGGUGGCGCGUGGAGGAGACGCGCCACCACCGCCCCACAGUUCCAGAAGUCAUCUUGUGCAGCUCCCGGACAUUUUAAGGAUCUUUUUGUAAUUUGUUACAUGUUUGAACAUGUAUUUAAUUAUUGUUGGGUUUGUUUAAGUAUUAUUAUUUUGUAAAUAUAAAAAGAAAAGAAAAGAAAAGAAACAAAAAUAGUGAAAGUGUAUGAUUGUG
rnacentral:lncRNA from 1 species